UUCCCCGCCCGCUCCCUCCUCCGACUUCUCCUCACCAGUGGGGGGCGCCAGAGGGCGGCGGCGUGGGCGCGGGGCGGUCUCCAUGGCAACGGCGGCUGCCUGCGGCCUGCGGGUUCUGUGAGGCCUACAGGCUCUGCGAGGCCUGCGGGUUCUGCGGGUUCCCACCCCACCAUGCCCACUGACCGUGUCUUCCAGUGCCACAUCCCCGCAGUUCGUGACCACCUCCCGGUUCGCUGACCCCAGCACCUCCCUCUGGAGAAGGAACUGUUCCUACUACCCUCCCCGGCCCGACCCGAGGCCGUCCCCUCUCAUCCUACCUCCCUUACCCAGAGCAGAGGCCGCCCCCCACCUCACUACCACCUCCUCUCAGCAGUAGAGUCUUUCCCAGGCCCUGUGCUGUGCUGCAGACGGACCCAUCCCUUUCCCCCACUGCUCCCCAUGAGGCCUGGGGGGGCGCUGGGCUGUGGGUGAAUGGCGUUGUCUCUGGCAGCACAUACAGCAAGGUAACGUGGAGAAAGGGAGGCUCAGAAUUGUGCAAAAUUGUCAUAUUUGAAGUUCAGAACUAAAGUCAAUCUGGUUUUCCUGCAGGUGUUAGCAAAUAUUACAGAGCAGUUUAUUUGUAUGCAGUUUUGCUUGUUUUUCUCACCAUUUUUAUCCACUGUAAUACUUCACAUCAUAGAAUCAUAGAACUCAAUCACUGAGGCUGGAAAGGACCUCUGAGAUCAGCAAACAACUGAUGGCCAAAGCGCACACCAGAGUUUCUGCAAACCUCCACUUGCAAGGAGUGCUGUCCUCGUUACUCACUUGUUCUAAUUGUGAGGUGUUGGAAAUGUUUGUGUUGCUGUAUUUGACUCGUGUCAGGAAGAUGAGGAAGAUCGAUGGGUGCCUGGGCAGACCGACCUGGUGGCUGGCAGCCCUGCCCACAGCGGGGGGUUGGAACUAAAUGACCAACCCAACCACUCUAUGACUAUCAUUAUUUGAAUGUGAGCUUUUAAUUGCUAUCAUUUCAGAUCAAAUGCCAAAUCUUUGGUGUUUGUGAGGAACAAAUGCCCAACAGCCAUCCCAUGGUAUGUCAGUGCUUUGUCUGACUGUAGUGUGAAGGUGUUGCUCAGGACCAGGGACACGUGGAGCUAUCGGUAAGGCUGUGAUUUCUUCUCCUCUGAAUUUGUACAGAGGGAUGAAGGGUGACCUCAUUACAGCCUUCCAGGACCUACAGGGAGCCUCCAAACAGGAGGGGAGGCAACUGGGGAGUUGCUCUUUACAAAGUGGUCUGCAGGGCACUGCUGUCUUCAUGUCACUUGAACACAAAGCUGAUGGAAAGGGGAAUGCCUAAAGAUCAAAAGCCAAAUCUUUGGUGUUUGUGAGGAAAAAAAAUGCCCAGCAGCCGUCCUGCAGCACAUCAGUGCUUUGUCUGACUGCGGUGUGAAGGUGUUGCUCGGGACCAGGGACACUUGGACUGGUUGGUGCUACACACUCUUAGGCUACACCAUGAACAGCCUUCAUUUUCCCCUUAAGGAAUGCUGACCUUCCAGCUCCUUCCCACUGCUCCCUGUACCAAGGGGACACUUUGUUGAUGCGAGGAGUGGUGAGCAUAUUGAAGACUGACAGGAGAAAUCACUUUGUGUCUCAAAGCACACACUGGGCCCAGCAGUCCUUGGUGGUGACUGGCAGCCUGGAGACGUCAGGCAGCAUCAGGACCCACUGGCUGCUGUGUUGCUGUGACCUCUGGAACGAGCAAACAGCUCCCACCUUCCUCCUCCAUCCCAGAGCGCCCUGCAGGAGCCGCUGUUCUCUUGUACAGCUCUGUAAGAUGUGAGCAAGCAGGUCAGGAAUCAAAUCAGUAACCCAGGGGAGGUGCAUAUCAGGAACAAUUCCUUCUCCAAAGAGCAGUCAGUGCUGGCACAGCUGCCCAGGGGUGGGGUCACUGUCCUGGGGCAUUCCAGAGCCGUGGGGAUGUGGCAUCAGCUAACAUCAGUUCACCAGUAGUUGCAUUUGGUGUGUGAUAACUGCAUUUGCUUCACCUUUUCCUUUUGAAAACCUUUGUGGUUUUGUGUAUUCCUAGUCUUGCUUCCACCAGAUUGAGUAAAUAAACAGUAUUUAAUUUAAAAAAGAAAAGAAAAAAAAAAAAGAAUAAAGAAUUGUAGGCCUUGCUGCUUUAUCUUCAGAGCACUAAGAAGUGAUUAUAGGAGAAAAGUUACUAGCUAUGAAUUUGCAUCUGCAGGGUGACCUCAUUGCAGCCUUCCAGGACCUCCAGGGAGCCUCCAAACAGGAGGGGAGGCAACUCUUGGAAAGGGCAGAUAACAGCAGGACGAGGGGAA